CCUACGGGAGGCAGCAGUAGGGAAUUUUGCGCAAUGGGGGAAACCCUGACGCAGCAACGCCGCGUGAUCGAUGAAGCCCUUCGGGGUGUAAAGAUCUGUCAGUGGGGACGAAACCUGACGGUACCUGAGUAAGAAGCCCCGGCUAACUACGUGCCAGCAGCCGCGGUAAUACGGAGGGGGCAAGCGUUAUCCGGAUUUACGGGGUGUAAAGGGAGCGUAGACGGCAGUGCAAGUCUGGAGUGAAAGGCGGGGGCUCAACCCCCGGACUGCUCUGGAAACUGUACGGCGGGAGUGCAGGAGAGGUAAGUGGAAUUCCUAGUGUAGCGGUGAAAUGCGUAGAUAUUAGGAGGAACACCAGUGGCGAAGGCGGCUUACUGGACUGUAACUGACGUUGAGGCUCGAAAGCGUGGGGAGCAAACAGGAUUAGAUACCCCAGUAGUC
rnacentral:rRNA from 1 species